rnacentral:tRNA from 1 species
AUCUAAAUAGUUUAAGUUAAAAUAUUGGCUUGUGGAGCUAAAGAUGUAAAGAUACAUUAGAUA